UGGUGUGAGGCAGAGAUGUGAAUUGGAACAAGUUAGUUAUAAAGUGGGAUGGGAUUGAGAAUUAAUUGGCGGGGCCAAGAGUUGAAAAGCUGAAAAGUUAAGGGUCAUGGCUUCGACUAUGUAUGCCAAUUGGGUAAACAAAGAAAAAAAAGGAGAAAUAAAAGAAGGUGCCAUGUGCUCAACUCAAUUAUUGAACCACAGGAAUGUCUAAAUCUUCAAGGUGGGUGGGGAAAAGU
rnacentral:lncRNA from 1 species